rnacentral:lncRNA from 1 species
CAGCACUCUUUUUUCCUUCUUGAAUUUCUCCUCCAACUUCAUGAGCAUACGCUUCUUGCAGUGCACCAAAAAUGAUUUCUCUGCAGAAGGAGAAAGAGAGAAAAAGCAUGGUUAGGAGAUCGAGCAUAUUGCUACCCCCUGAUGAGAUUACCAUAACCCACUUAAAAUACUUAAAUUUUAAUUUACUUUUGUUUCGUAUUAUCCAACUGUUGCAGGCACUGAAGUGGCCUCUAGUAGUUUGUCAGUCAGCUGAGCGUCUUCUACUCUGCUAUGAAGAUGAAUUAAGCGUGUUAAUGAUUCACAUAAGAGUGUAUAAUCUGCUCAAAUAAACUCAAUGAUAUCCAACACCCACAAAAACUACAUGCAACUUAGAGAGCCGUGGAUAAACUUGUGAGAUGUAUCUGUAAGAUUAUCUUAGAAACACAAAAAUAAUAUAUUAAUGCUCUUUUGAACUCACAUCCUCAUUUAUAUAUACGACUACCAUAUGGUAGACUAUGACUGCAUUAAUAGCAGGAAAUAUAAGUCAUUUUUCGAGGCCAAUAAACCAAAAGAGGGAGUUAGCCAUAUAUAAUAUAGACCAUCCAUUUCUUGUCUUUGAACUCUGCGUAAGAGCUCCACUUGUAGGAUUCCACCAAUGGAAAGAACAGGUUUUGCCAGCCUAAACUUCUGCAAGCUGUUCUCCUGUACCCAUGAGAAGCUAGCUUAGCUGUUCCAAAGUCUGAGACACAUAAAAGAAGAAAUCUUAACUAAAACUGAGCUACAGUUUGAAGUAGAUUUUAAAUUGCUUGCUUUUGUCAACAAAAGAGAAGAUUAGUUCAUGAAUGAGCACCUAACAGCUGUGUUAAAAUGAGUGAUAUACUUCCACCAAGUACAUGUUCUGACAUAAGUAAGACCAAGAAUAGGCUUAGUUAGUGGAAACCAUUAUUAUUACUUGGGAAGUAGACGUUGUUACUUAUUAUCCAAGAAAAGAUGUCAGUGUAAAGUAUCCAUUUGAUUGCUUCACGGAUGAGAACUAUCCAGAACAAAAGAAACUGAAAUAUUGUUUGGAUAGCAAGAUGUAACAACCAAUUAAUGUGUAGUAGGUACAUAGAAGAAGAAAAAAACUGAUGAGACAAUCUCAAGAACAAAAAAGUAACGCUUAAAUACACAAAAAGAACAUAGACUUAAAGGAUAGAAAUACAAAAGAGAGCAAACUGAUUUAAUAUACAACUCUCUUUGUUAAUUCAUUAGUCUACAAGCAUAUUCUGAGAACAAAGAGGAUAACAAGACAAAUAACGAAUAUAAUUGAGAGGAGAAACAAAGUCAAGUGAAAAGUAAAAGCAAAGCAGCAGAAACCAAUUAAUUCUUAAGUUUACUUGUUCAUUUUCAUAUGAUUUUAUCAAUGCGGUUUGACUUAAGAUACUAACAAUAUUUGUAAUUGAAAGUAUGUACUAAUAUUUAGGGGAAAAGAAAGUUGAGAAGUAGAUACGAUGUUCUGUAUGAACAUAAAGGGGUCGCAGUUCACUACAUCGACCACUUCAGACCAUCCAUAUACCGGCUUCUUGUUUACUCUUUUCCUUCAUUCUCACAAUUAUAGUAACAAAGGUCUCAACAGGUGCAUUGCACUUUUGCUCCGUUUUCCUUUAUUGUGUUUCCUUUAUUGUAUACUUUUAAAUUGUCACAACUAUAACAUCAUGUCUUCUGAAAUUCCUUUCUUUAAAUUUUUUUCAGGAACAAGUUGAAGAAAAAAUAAGAAGAUUCAAGAGAGGGCAAAACUUUGGAUGAUUUAAGGAAAGUGAGACUUAUCAAGGAUUUGUACCAAUUAAACUUGUGGGCAAACUUGAAGAAGCAAAACAAAUUACAGAGAGAUGAAAAUAGAAUGCCAUCAAAAUUACCCAAAAUCAAAAUUACCAGAUUAUUCUUCACCCAAGCGAACCAAGAAAUUAAAUCUGAAGACAGUAAUAAAAAUCAAGUAGUAAAUUUGAUUCAUUGUAAAAUUUUGCCCUUAUUCUCGAGGAAAUACACAGAAGUUGAAGUGAAGGAAAAGAAAAUCCAGCAAAACAUAACUAACCUGAUAAAAGUUUCAGAGCCGCAAGAGGAAAGACCAGAAGAGACAAAGAUAACUUGAAGAGGAACUGAGAAAGGUAUGAAAAUCCGAAGAAACAGCAGUAUGAACCGAAAUCGAAGGUAACACGUGUGUAGAAAGCUAAAAUAUUUGAAAUUCCCAAACUACCCCUACGACCCCAAGCUCCUCUCGCUAGCUGUUUCUAUAAUAGUACUAGUGAGGGUAUGCCCGGGCUAUGCCCGGGCCGAACGACUAUUUAGUAUUUUUGUUAAUAAAGCUAUAUAGGUACUUAAAUCUAUCAUGGACCAUCGAAAAGAAACAUGUUAUGGAAAAGGUUUUUGUAUACCUAAAGGUUUUGUAAGUACUAUAGGCUAAAGAGAGAUUGUAUUUAACUGUCAUAACUACAUACAUAAAUGUGAUUCUAACAGUAUUUAGCAACAUGCGCACUGUCUUCACCUAUCCAUCCAGCUUUUCAUGUUGGUACUGUUGCACGCACUAAAAUGGCCUCUAGUAAUUUGUCAGUCAGCUGAGCGUCUUCUACUCUGCU